CUCUUUAGCUUGGCAUUUGAAUCGGCUUUGCUGUUGCGAAGUAGAGUGGCGGCUUCGGCUGCCGAGGGUCGAUCCAUUUGGGAAAUGUUGUGUACUUCGGUAUGCAUCUCAAUUGGACCUGAUAUCAGGCAAGAUUACCCGCUGAACUUAAGCAUAUUAAUAAGCGGAGGAAAAGAAACUAACAAGGAUUCCCCUAGUAACGGCGAGUGAAGCGGGAAGAGCUCAAGCUUAAAAUCUCCGUGCAAGUUUUGCGCGGCGAAUUGUAGUCUAUAGAGGCGUGAUCAGUGUGGGCGCUUGUUUUAAGUUCCUUGGAAGAAGACAGCAUGGAGGGUGAUACUCCCGUUCAUCCCUGAGUUGCUCGUGCGUACGAUCCGUUUUCUUUGAGUCGCGUUGUUUGGGAAUGCAGCGCAAAGUAGGUGGUAAAUUCCAUCUAAAGCUAAAUAUUGGUGCGAGACCGAUAGCGAACAAGUACCGUGAGGUGAAAGAUGAAAAGAACUUUGAAAAGAGAGUUAAAGAGUACCUGAAACUGCUGAAGGGAACCGAAUCGUUUCCAGUGUCUAUAAUCCGUGGUAUAUUUCAUUGGCGAGUGUGUGCGUGCGUGUGCUGUGGCAGCGGCUUUUUUGGCUGCGCUCGGCGUGUGUGCUGUGUGUGCUUGCUGGUGCCCUGUGCUGCGGUGGGACGUCAAGGUCAGUUCGUAUGCUGCGGGAAAUGGCCGCCGAGGAGGUAGGGCUUACGCUUGCGUUUGUCUGUUAUAUCUUGGUGGACGAGUAGUCGCGGUUGGGACUGAGGUGCCUACAACGUGUUUUUGAGUGGGCCUGUGUCUCUGUGUGCGCCGUGUGCGGAUAGCUUGCUAUGCGUGUGUGGUUGUGUGUGGAUUGAUGUGAGUUUUAACUUGUUGCCGUUCGGGACGUUGACGAAAUGGAGCGAUUUGACCCGUCUUGAAACACGGACCAAGGAGUCUAACAUGUGUGCAAGUGUUAGGGUGUGGAAACCCCAGCGCGAAAUGAAAGUGAAGGGCAGCGUAAGUUGUCUGAGGUAGGAAAUGCUGCGGGCUUCGGUCUGCGGUGUGGCACUAUCGACCGAUCAUGAACCUUCGUGGUGAAAGAUUUGAGUUUGAGCACAUAUGUUGGUACCCGAAAGAUGGUGAACUAUGCCUGAGUAGGGUGAAGCCAGGGGAAACUCUGGUGGAAGCUCGUAGCGAUUCUGACGUGCAAAUCGAUCGUCAAACUUGGGUAUAGGGGCGAAAGACUAAUCGAACCAUCUAGUAGCUGGUUCCCUCCGAAAUUUCCCUCAGGAUAGCAGCAACUUAUUUACGAUAGUUUUAUGAGGUAAAGCGAAUGAUUAGAGGAUUCGGGGAAGAAACUUCCUCGACCUAUUCUCAAACUUUAAAUCUGUAAGACCUGCAGGUUUCUUAAUUGAACUUGUGGAUGUGAAUAUCAAGUUGCUAGUGGGCCAUACGGGGUAAGCUCGUCUGGCGAUGCGGGAUGAACCGAACGCAAAGUUAAAGUGCCAAAAUGCUCGCUCACCUAGAUACCAUAAAAGGUGUUGGUUCAUUUAGACAGCAGGACGGUGGCCAUGGAAGUCGGAAUCCGCUAAGGAGUGUGUAACAACUCACCUGCCGAAUGAACUAGCCCUGAAAAUGGAUGGCGCUAAAGCGGGCUACUUAUACUUUGCCGUUAGCGCGAUAGCAUUUAUAAUGUACGCGUUAAUGAGUAGGAGGGCGUGAAGGUCGUGAAGAAGCUCGUGGCGUGAGCCUGAGUGAACGGCCUUUAGUGCAGAUCUUGGUGGUAGUAGCAAAUAUUCAAAUGCGAACUUUGAAGACUGAAGUGAAGAAAGGUUCCGUGUGAUCAGUAAUUGGACACGGGUGAGUCGAUCCUAAGAGAUAGGAUAAUUCCGUUUGAAAGCUGGGCUGUUUGAGGCGUGGGGUUCGUCCUUGCGUUUUGUAUGCAGCCUCGUGUAUCGAAAGGGAAUCAGGUUAAUAUUCCUGAACCGAGACGUGGAUAAUAUGUGGUAACACAACCGACCCAGGAGACGCUAGCGUGUGCCCAGGGAAGAGUUCUCUUUUCUUUUUAACAAGCAUAUCCUACCUUGGAAACGGAUUAUCCGGCGAUAAGGAGGAUGCCUUGGCAAAGCACUUUACUUUUUGAAGUGUCCUGCGCGCCCACGACAGCCCUUGAAAAUCCUGGCUAGAGAUUUAUUCGCACCCUCGUUUCGUACUCAUAAACGCAUCAGGUCUCCAAGGUUAGCAGCCUCUAGUUGAUAGAAGAAUGUAGAAUAAGGGAAGUCGGCAAAAUAGAUCCGUAACUUCUGGAAAAAGGAUUGGCUCUGAGGAGUGGGGCCUAGGGGUCUUUUUGGAGAACUUGUGGCGGAUCUACGCUGGGGCUGCGUCUGGACCUUUCGGGGACCGGAUGCGGCCUGGCGGUCGGGCUGCUCUUGUUGUGCCGGAGAGAAAAGUAGUUGUGCUUUCGGGCUGGCUGCUGUUUCCUUAGUGCGUUGAACAACCGGCUCAGAACUGGAGCGGACAAAGGGGAAUCCGACUGUUUAAUUAAAACAAAGCAUUGUGAUGGCCGGAGACGGUGUUGACACAAUGUGAUUUCUGCCCAGUGCUCUGAAUGUCAAAGUGAAGAGAUUCAACCAAGCGCGGGUAAACGGCGGGAGUAACUAUGACUCUCUUAAGGUAGCCAAAUGCCUCGUCAUCUAACUAGUGACGCGCAUGAAUGGAUUAAUGAGAUUCCCACUGUCCCUAUCUACUGUCUAGCGAACCCACAGCCAAGGGAACGGGCUUGGAAUAAUCAGCGGGGAAAGAAGACCCUGUUGAGCUUGACUCUAGUCUGACGUUGUGAAAUGACUUGGGAGGUGUAGAAUAAGUGGGAGGCUCUGCCGUCUGUGAAAUACCACUACUCUCAAUGUUGUUUUACUUAUACCAUGAUGUAGCAUCUGUGUGGCCUCGCGGUCGCUCAGUUCUAGUUGUAAACUUGGGCUUUUGCCUGGGUGAGCUACGUGGAAGACAUCGUCAGGUGGGGAGUUUGGCUGGGGCGGCACAUCUGUUAAAUGAUAACACAGGUGUCCUAAGGUGAGCUCAAUGAGAACAGAAAUCUCAUGUAGAACAAAAGGGUAAAAGCUCACUUGAUUUUGAUUUUCAGUAUGAAUACAAACCGUGAAAGCGUGGCCUAUCGAUCCUUUAGUUCUUUUGAAUUUUAAGCUAGAGGUGUCAGAAAAGUUACCACAGGGAUAACUGGCUUGUGGCAGCCAAGCGUCCA
rnacentral:rRNA from 1 species